rnacentral:rRNA from 1 species
AUACAGAGGGUGCGAGCGUUAAUCGGAAUUACUGGGCGUAAAGCGCGCGUAGGCGGUUACGUAAGUCGGAUGUGAAAGCCCCGGGCUUAACCUGGGAAUUGCAUUCGAAACUGCGUGGCUAGAGUCUGAUAGAGGGAAGUGGAAUUUCCGGUGUAGCGGUGAAAUGCGUAGAUAUCGGAAGGAACAUCAGUGGCGAAGGCGGCUUCCUGGAUCAAGCCUGACGCUCAGGUGCGAAAGCGUGGGGAGCAAACAGGAUCAGAAACCCCUGUAGUCC